CGAGAAGCCGUCCGAGGCGAUGACAGACGGCAACGACAUAACUUGCGUCGAGCACGCCUCUUCGCACUGCGUCUCGCAUGGACGUAGUGUAAGGCUUGCCCCGUAGACAUGAAGAUGUGUGGUUCUUGUUUCUCCAGCAGCGAGCCAAUGGACUCCGACAACGACUACACCAUCGUGCAGGGCAAGCGACUCAAGAGAAAAUAGCACAAGACGACCAAAGACGUGAGUGAGCAGAGCCACGACGGACUGCCUACUCCGGCUUGCAGAUGACGACUACGGUUCAGCACGUGGGCAAGGCGGCGAUUGUGGUGCUUCAGAUUUUGCUACUUCACUCCCUCGUGUCCUUCGGUGCACAGAAAGCUGCGUCGACUGCUCCUCAGCAUGAAACUACCGGCCCAAAGCCUUACCGAGUGUCUUCUCCACAUCACUAACGAUUUUAAACACUAUAGAACAGACGCUGAGCACACACGCAUACUAUUCCGUCUCAUCUGUUUUUGACCAUGC